rnacentral:piRNA from 1 species
UCCAAGUAUAGAGAUGAUUCCAAAGUGGU